rnacentral:tRNA from 1 species
AAGCUAUUGUUCUUAUUUUUAGAGUUAAUGUUUCGGCCAUUAAUUUAGUGAUUAUUUUCACCUAUAGUUUA